rnacentral:tRNA from 2 species
GCCCCAUUGGUGGAAUGGUAGACACGUGAGUCUUAGGAACUCAUAUCUUAGGGUGUGUAGGUUCGAGUCCUACAUGGGGUA